UACGUAGGGGCCUAGCGUUGUCCGGAUUUAUUGGGCGUAAAGAGCUCGUAGGCGGUUUGGUAAGUCGGGUGUGAAAUCUCCACGCUCAACGUGGAGGGGCCACCCGAUACUGCCAUGACUGGAGCCCGGUAGGGGAGUGUGGAAUUCCCGGUGUAGCGGUGAAAUGCGCAGAUAUCGGGAGGAACACCAGUAGCGAAGGCGGCUACCUGGACGAGAAACUGACGCUGAGGCACGAAAGCUAGGGGAGCAAACAGG
rnacentral:rRNA from 1 species